CAGUACACACAAUCUCAUGCACGGAUUGACUUGAUUUGAUUGUAAUAAAAGAAAAAGGGGGUAGGCAUACUUCGUGGUUUUGGGGAAUUCUUAGAAAUCAUUUAAACUUAACGAGAUACAAAGCCUCCACACGACCCCUCCCCUCGCACCCAGUUCCUUCAUUUUUGAAUUUAGCAAUAUUCCCUCUCCGCAAAGGGCUGUCCAAAUGCGGGGAGAGUUAAGAAAUGCACUUGCGGGGGCCCAUAAAUUCUGGAUUUCAAUUUCAAAGUAUAUUUUUUUUUUUAAAUGCGCCGUUUAGUUUCAAACUAGCGCUCCUAGCCAUUAUAGUUACCGCCCUAGCGAUUGUAUUAGUGGCUUAAGUUAUUUCUGGGCGUAGAGUUGCAAGUAGGAGGGAACGACUUGGAACAAAACAUUUCAAAUUCGUUCAACCUUAACGACGAAGAUAACAAAACAGUUUUGAUAUCAAUGUGGAAAUAUCACAAAGACUUUUGGAAGUUUGAACGCACAAUAACAACUGACAGCUUUUACUUACCAACUUGUACCACAUCGCAUAUCUCUCUCCCUGGUGUGCUUGUGGUGCGUACCUGCGCACUAGUGAACCAGAACAGGAAGACGCUAGGACAGGGAAGGCUGUUGUUGGCCCGCAAUCAGGCUGCUGGUAAAAGAACUGGUAGAAUUAGUAUCAAGAGUCUUUGAAUGCAGAAGGCUGUUAUGUGUUUGUCCUGAUUUUGACAAUUUAAAAAAACAUGAUGGGGAAAAGAAGGAAAACAAAAGACAGUUUUUUAGAUUUAAUUGAAUAUAUUACUUAUUGAUUUUAAUGUCCUGCUUUGACAUUUAUUAAACAAUUUGUCCAAAAAAAAAAUGCUGAAAAAAAAAGUUGCAAAGAAUAAAUGAAACAUUUUUGCUAUCACAAUUGGAAUACGCCUUUUGGUUUUUUUUUUUACUUUUUUGUUAAAAUCAUGACCUUUUUUGAUAUUUGAA